rnacentral:misc_RNA from 1 species
UCCGGUUUGUCACCGGCAGUCUCCUUAGAGUUCCCGACUUUACUCGCUGGCAACUAAGGACAAGGGUUGCGCUCGUUGCGGGACUUAACCCAACAUCUCACGACACGAGCUGACGACAGCCAUGCAGCACCUGUCUCACGGUUCCCGAAGGCACAUCCGCAUCUCUGCAGACUUCCGUGGAUGUCAAGACCAGGUAAGGUUCUUCGCGUUGCAUCGAAUUAAACCACAUACUCCACCGCUUGUGCGGGCCCCCGUCAAUUCCUUUGAGUUUCAGUCUUGCGACCGUACUCCCCAGGCGGCGAACUUAACGCGUUAGCUUCGACACUGAGAGCCUAGUUGCUCCCAACGUCCAGUUCGCAUCGUUUAGGGCGUGGACUAC